CGAACGGGUGAGUAAUACAUACGGAACGUGUCCUGGAGUGGGGGAUAGCCCGGCGAAAGCCGGAUUAAUACCGCAUACGCUCUACGGAGGAAAGGGGGGGAUCUUUCGGGACCUCUCGCUCAAGGGGCGGCCGAUGGCAGAUUAGCUAGUUGGUGGGGUAAAGGCCUACCAAGGCGACGAUCUGUAGCUGGUCUGAGAGGACGACCAGCCACACUGGGACUGAGACACGGCCCAGACUCCUACGGGAGGCAGCAGUGGGGAAUUUUGGACAAUGGGCGCAAGCCUGAUCCAGCAAUGCCGCGUGUGUGAAGAAGGCCUUCGGGUUGUAAAGCACUUUUGUCCGGAAAGAAAUCCCUUGCCCUAAUACGGCGGGGGGAUGACGGUACCGGAAGAAUAAGCACCGGCUAACUACGUGCCAGCAGCCGCGGUAAUACGUAGGGUGCAAGCGUUAAUCGGAAUUACUGGGCGUAAAGCGUGCGCAGGCGGUUCGCUAAGACAGAUGUGAAAUCCCCGGGCUUAACCUGGGAACUGCAUUUGUGACUGGCGGGCUAGAGUAUGGCAGAGGGGGGUAGAAUUCCACGUGUAGCAGUGAAAUGCGUAGAGAUGUGGAGGAAUACCGAUGGCGAAGGCAGCCCCCUGGGCCAAUACUGACGCUCAUGCACGAAAGCGUGGGGAGCAAACAGGAUUAAAUACCCUGGUAGUCCACGCCCUAAACGAUGUCAACUAGUUGUCGGGUCUUCAUUGACUU
rnacentral:rRNA from 1 species